rnacentral:rRNA from 1 species
AUGUUUAUCUCUGGGACGACCAAAUAUGCAGAGAGAAUAUGGGCACUCAGGAUAGCUGGCUCAUGGGAACCCCGGAUAAGAACUUCUGGCUUGGAUAUACACACAAUGAAUACUGAGCUCGCGUCAAUGUUUUCGUCAGCAGGGGAAGAUGUCGAUCCCGGGCGCAUCGUGGAGGUUGCUAUGGGUAUCGGUGCAUUCCAGGAAAGCAUCGGGUUCCUAAUGGACGUGACACCGAAAAGGUAUACCCGUGGAGCUUAUUACAGCCAAGCAAAGGCAAUUAUUGAGAAGGUUGCCAGGGGAUUUACAUCUUCCGGCAAUGGAGCUGAUUGGGCGUACAAGUUAUCCGAGAUCCGUCUCUCAUUGAUCUAUGACCACCUCUACACAAAGUUUGGGAGCCUCAAGCUGAAGGGUUUGUUCCUGUACCGGCUAACCACUCUUGCCAUAACCUCUACGGCUCUCGCUUUCUUUGUUGUAGCCAGCAAGGGAGGCAGCUAG